UGGUUGGACGAGGUAAUAACUGUCUUUAUUUAAUAAAUAGUAGAAUUUAACUUUUGAGUUAAAAGGCUUAAAUUUAAUUGAUAGACGAGAAGACCCUAUAGAUCUUUAUUUACAGGGCUAUAUAUUGGAUUUGGAUAUAUUUAUAAUUUAUAGCUUUAUAAAUUUUAUUGGGGUAAUAUAGAGAUUAACUAAAUUCUUUGAAUAAUUUCAACAAUGAUGAUUGAUAAACUGAUCCAUUAGUAUUGAUUAUAAGAUUAAGUUAC
rnacentral:rRNA from 1 species